UACGUAGGGUCCGAGCGUUGUCCGGAAUUACUGGGCGUAAAGAGCUCGUAGGUGGUUUGUCGCGUUGUUCGUGAAAUCCCACGGCUUAACUGUGGGCGUGCGGGCGAUACGGGCAGACUGGAGUACUGCAGGGGAGACUGGAAUUCCUGGUGUAGCGGUGGAAUGCGCAGAUAUCAGGAGGAACACCCGUAGCGAAGGCGGCACUCUGGGCCGGAACUGACGCUGAGGAGCGAAAGCGUGGGGAGCGAACAGG
rnacentral:rRNA from 1 species